rnacentral:tRNA from 1 species
GUUGCUGUGGCGCAAUCGGUUAGCGCGUUCGGCUGUUAACCGAAAGGUUGAUGGUUCGAAUCCAUCCAGAAAAG